GGUAAUAGAAAAAUAAUGAGGGCAAUAGAUAUUUCAGGUUUAAACUGUUUUAUAAAAUGAUUAGAAUAUUGAUUUUAUGAUUUAAAUUAGAAAUAAUUAUUUGAACUCAUUAAUGAAUUAAUAAAUAAAAUUGUGUUCCGAGACUAAUUUUCACAAUGUUAUAUUUAAAUCAUAAAUUGUCAUUUAUCUUGAAUAUUUUGUAAAAUUCAUAUAUUAAUCCUAUAUCUUUUAUUCUAACCCUAACUCUAUAUUUCUUAUUUUUAUGUACCGUUAUCAUCCAAUACGUAUACUCCUCACCCAAUUAUUAAAACACACAUAGAGUACACUACCCCUCCCUUAUUUCUCCACGCUUCUUUUCUUUCCACCGUUCAUUCCCGCAGGAAUACACUCCACAUAAAUAAAUUUGCACACAGAAAAGAAAGAAAUUAGAGAUAACAGGGGAAGAGGAAUCGAGAGAGAGCGAGAAUGCAGAGGGAAAAAGGGGAAGGGGGGAGCAGCGCCAGUGUGCACCAUAGGCACCGCGGCUGCUGUUGCUGCCUCACAGGAGAGUGAGGGAGAAGUAGAAGACGAAAAAUGAGGUAGAAAAGGGAGGAAGUGUCGUCCCUGUUGUCACCAAGCACCGCCGCCGCCCAAGGGGAAAGCUCAGUCGUUAACAUCAAUUCUGCCUGGACCACCACUGCCAAACCCUAGCCAUCACUGUCGCCACUGCACGUAAGAAGGGGGCGGCACCGCUGAUGACCGUUGAGUUGGAGCUGUCACAGACACGAGAAUUUUCGGGAAUCGUUGCUGCCAUGUUCCCAUUCCAAUUAGAGCCGCUUCUGCUUUUGAUUCUAUUGAAUUUGAAAUCUUCGUUUCGUUACGACCAUGAUCACUGCUAUGGGAACUAACGCCGCUGCUAUCUUGAUUGAAACUGUUGCAUAGCUAGUAGUGGUCCAGCCAGCUGCCUCGUCAUAAUCCCGCCUCCGGAUUCUUUUAAUCGCGACAUCGAGGUAGGGGGUUUAAAACGAUUUCAAUUUAAGAAUGCCUGCAAGGUUGAUUGAAUAACUGCAAAGAGAUUUAAUAGCUGUGAGUAAUUGAUUGAUUAUGU